CCUACGGGAGGCUGCAGUGGGGAAUAUUGGACAAUGGGGGCAACCCUGAUCCAGCGACGCCGCGUGUGUGAAGAAGGCCUGCGGGUUGUAAAGCACUUUUAGUGGGGACAAAAAGCCGAGGGCUAAUACCUUUCGGUCUUGAUUUAACCCAAAGAAAAAGCACCGGCUAACUCUGUGCCAGCAGCCGCGGUAAUACAGAGGGUGCAAGCGUUAAUCGGAAUUACUGGGCGUAAAGCGUGCGCAGUCGGUUAUUUAAGUCGGAUGUGAAAUCCCCGGGCUCAACCUGGGAAUUGCAUUCGAUACUGGAUAGCUAGAGUUCGGCAGAGGGAAGCGGAAUUUCGGGUGUAGCGGUGAAAUGCGUAGAUAUCCGAAGGAACAUCAGUGGCGAAAGCGGCUUCCUGGACCAGAACUGACGAUCAGGCACGAAAGCGUGGGGAGCAAACAGGAUUAGAUACCCCAGUAGUC
rnacentral:rRNA from 1 species